CUGUAUCACUGGAAUAACUUGCUGAAAAGUGAGCUAAUACUAGAUGGUUUCUGUUUAUUUCAUGGUAGAUAGAAUAAAGCUACGGCGGAUACAGGUUGGUAUGCGUUCCAUUAGCUAGUUGGUAAGGUAACGGCUUACCAAGGCGAUGAUGGAUAGGGGUUCUGAGAGGAAUGUCCCCCACACUGGUACUGAGAUACGGACCAGACUCCUGCGGGAGGCAGCAGUAGGGAAUAUUGGGCAAUGGACGGAAGUCUGACCCAGCCAUGCCGCGUGCAGGAUGACGGCGCUUAGCGUUGUAAACUGCUUUUGUUAAGGAAGAAACCCUCUUUGCGAAGAGGUAUGACGGUACUUAAAGAAUAAGCAUCGGCUAACUACGUGCCAGCAGCCGCGGUAAUACGUAGGAUGCAAGCGUUGUCCGGAACUAUUGGGUUUAAAGGGUGUGUAGGUUGUUACAUAAGUCAGCGGUGAAAUACAUUUGCUUAACAGAUAGUAAGCCGUUGAUACUGUGUGGCUAGAGUGCGAUAUAGGUGGGCGGAAUUUGUAAUGUAGCGGUGAAAUGCAUAGAUAUUACAAGGAACGUCGAUAGCGAAGGCAGCUCACUGUGUCUGCACUGACACUGAGACACGAAAGCGUGGGUAUCGAACAGGAUUAGAUACCCUGGUAGUCCACGCUGUAAACGAUGAUGACUCGAUGUACGUAUUUAGAUAUGUGUGUCUGAGAGAAA
rnacentral:rRNA from 1 species